rnacentral:rRNA from 1 species
ACAGCGGAGGGAUCAUUACAGAGUUGCAAAACUCCCUAAACCAUUGUGAACGUUACCUAAACCGUUGCUUCGGCGGGCGGCCCGGGUCCUUCCCGGCGCCCCUCGGCCCUCGCGGGCGCCCGCCGGAGGUAAACCAAACUAUUGCAUUGUAUGGCCUCUCUGAGUCUUCUGUACUGAAUAAGUCAAAACUUUCAACAACGGAUCUCUUGGUUCUGGCAUCGAUGAAGAACGCAGCGAAAUGCGAUAAGUAAUGUGAAUUGCAGAAUUCAGUGAAUCAUCGAAUCUUUGAACGCACAUUGCGCCCGCCAGUAUUCUGGCGGGCAUGCCUGUUCGAGCGUCAUUUCAACCAUCAAGCCCCGGGCUUGUGUUGGGGACCUGCGGCUGCCGCAGGCCCUGAAAUGCAGUGGCGGGCUCGCUGUCACUCCGAGCGUAGUAGUUACAUCUCGCUCUGGGCGUGCUGCGGGUUCCGGCCGUUAAAAGCCUUAUUUACCCAAGGUUGACCUCGGAUCAGGUAGGAAGACCCGCUGAACUUAAGCAUAUCAAUAAGCGGAGGAA